CUAAUACAUGCAAGUAGAACGCUGAAGAGAGGAGCUUGCUCUUCUUGGAUGAGUUGCGAACGGGUGAGUAACGCGUAGGUAACCUGCCUGGUAGCGGGGGAUAACUAUUGGAAACGAUAGCUAAUACCGCAUAAAAUGGAUUAUCGCAUGAUAAUCCAUUGAAAGGUGCAAAUGCAUCACUACCAGAUGGACCUGCGUUGUAUUAGCUAGUUGGUGGGGUAACGGCUCACCAAGGCGACGAUACAUAGCCGACCUGAGAGGGUGAUCGGCCACACUGGGACUGAGACACGGCCCAGACUCCUACGGGAGGCAGCAGUAGGGAAUCUUCGGCAAUGGACGGAAGUCUGACCGAGCAACGCCGCGUGAGUGAAGAAGGUUUUCGGAUCGUAAAGCUCUGUUGUAAGAGAAGAACGAGUGUGAGAGUGGAAAGUUCACACUGUGACGGUAUCUUACCAGAAAGGGA
rnacentral:rRNA from 1 species